CCUACGGGUGGCAGCAGUGAGGAAUAUUGGUCAAUGGACGCGAGCCUGAACCAGCCAAGUAGCGUGAAGGAUGACUGCCCUACGGGUUGUAAACUUCAGUUAUAAAGGAAUAAAAUGAGGCACGUGUGCCGUGUUGCAUGGACUUUAUGAAUAAGGAUAGGCUAACUCCGUGCCAGCAGCCGCGGUAAUACGGAGGAUCCGAGCGUUAUCCGGAUUGAUUGGGUUUAAAGGGAGCGUAGAGGGGUUGUUAAGGCAGUGGUGAAAGUUGGCGGCUCAACCGUAAAAUUGCAAUUGAUACUGGCAGCCUUGAGUACAGUUGAGGUCGGCGGACUUCGUGGUGUAGCGG
rnacentral:rRNA from 1 species